rnacentral:rRNA from 1 species
GAUCAUGGCUCAGGGUGAACGCUAGCUACAGGCUUAACACAUGCAAGUCGAGGGGCAGCAUGGUCUUAGCUUGCUAAGACUGAUGGCGACCGGCGCACGGGUGAGUAACACGUAUCCAACCUGCCGUCUACUCUUGGACAGCCUUCUGAAAGGAAGAUUAAUACAAGAUGGCAUCAUGAGUCUGCAUGUUCAUAUGAUUAAAAGGUAUUCCGGUAGACGA